UUAAGCGACUAAGCGUACACGGUGGAUGCCCUGGCAGUCAGAGGCGAUGAAGGACGUGCUAAUCUGCGAUAAGCGUCGGUAAGGUGAUAUGAACCGUUAUAACCGGCGAUUUCCGAAUGGGGAAACCCAGUGUGUUUCGACACACUAUCAUUAACUGAAUCCAUAGGUUAAUGAGGCGAACCGGGGGAACGUGAAACUUCUAAGUACCCCGACGGAAAGGAAAUCAACCGAGAUUCCCCCACGUAGCGGCGAGCGAACGGGGAGCAGCCCAGAGCCUGAAUCAGUGUGUGUGUUAGUGGAAGCGUCUGGAAAGGCGCGCGAUACAGGGUGACAGCCCCGUACACAAAAAUGCACAUGCUGUGAGCUCGAUGAGUAGGGCGGGACACGUGGUAUCCUGUCUGAAUAUGGGGGGGCCAUCCUCCAAGGCUAAAUACUCCUGACUGACCGAUAGUGAACCAGUACCGUGAGGGAAAGGCGAAAAGAACCCCGGCGAGGGGAGUGAAAAAGAACCUGAAACCGUGUACGUACAAGCAGUGGGAGCACGCUUAGGCGUGUAACUGCGUACCUUUUGUAUAAUGGGUCAGCGACUUAUAUUCUGUAGCAAGGUUAACCGAAUAGGGGAGCCGAAGGGAAACCGAGUCUUAACUGGGCGUUAAGUUGCAGGGUAUAGACCCGAAACCCGGUGAUCUAGCCAUGGGCAGGUUGAAGGUUGGGUAACACUAACUGGAGGACCGAACCGACUAAUGUUGAAAAAUUAGCGGAUGACUUGUGGCUGGGGGUGAAAGGCCAAUCAAACCGGGAGAUAGCUGGUUCUCCCCGAAAGCUAUUUAGGUAGCGCCUCGUGAAUUCAUCUCCGGGGGUAGAGCACUGUUUCGGCAAGGGGGUCAUCCCGACUUACCAACCCGAUGCAAACUGCGAAUACCGGAGAAUGUUAUCACGGGAGACACACGGCGGGUGCUAACGUCCGUCGUGAAGAGGGAAACAACCCAGACCGCCAGCUAAGGUCCCAAAGUCAUGGUUAAGUGGGAAACGAUGUGGGAAGGCCCAGACAGCCAGGAUGUUGGCUUAGAAGCAGCCAUCAUUUAAAGAAAGCGUAAUAGCUCACUGGUCGAGUCGGCCUGCGCGGAAGAUGUAACGGGGCUAAACCAUGCACCGAAGCUGCGGCAGCGACGCUUAUGCGUUGUUGGGUAGGGGAGCGUUCUGUAAGCCUGCGAAGGUGUGCUGUGAGGCAUGCUGGAGGUAUCAGAAGUGCGAAUGCUGACAUAAGUAACGAUAAAGCGGGUGAAAAGCCCGCUCGCCGGAAGACCAAGGGUUCCUGUCCAACGUUAAUCGGGGCAGGGUGAGUCGACCCCUAAGGCGAGGCCGAAAGGCGUAGUCGAUGGGAAACAGGUUAAUAUUCCUGUACUUGGUGUUACUGCGAAGGGGGGACGGAGAAGGCUAUGUUGGCCGGGCGACGGUUGUCCCGGUUUAAGCGUGUAGGCUGGUUUUCCAGGCAAAUCCGGAAAAUCAAGGCUGAGGCGUGAUGACGAGGCACUACGGUGCUGAAGCAACAAAUGCCCUGCUUCCAGGAAAAGCCUCUAAGCAUCAGGUAACAUCAAAUCGUACCCCAAACCGACACAGGUGGUCAGGUAGAGAAUACCAAGGCGCUUGAGAGAACUCGGGUGAAGGAACUAGGCAAAAUGGUGCCGUAACUUCGGGAGAAGGCACGCUGAUAUGUAGGUGAAGUCCCUCGCGGAUGGAGCUGAAAUCAGUCGAAGAUACCAGCUGGCUGCAACUGUUUAUUAAAAACACAGCACUGUGCAAACACGAAAGUGGACGUAUACGGUGUGACGCCUGCCCGGUGCCGGAAGGUUAAUUGAUGGGGUUAGCGCAAGCGAAGCUCUUGAUCGAAGCCCCGGUAAACGGCGGCCGUAACUAUAACGGUCCUAAGGUAGCGAAAUUCCUUGUCGGGUAAGUUCCGACCUGCACGAAUGGCGUAAUGAUGGCCAGGCUGUCUCCACCCGAGACUCAGUGAAAUUGAACUCGCUGUGAAGAUGCAGUGUACCCGCGGCAAGACGGAAAGACCCCGUGAACCUUUACUAUAGCUUGACACUGAACAUUGAGCCUUGAUGUGUAGGAUAGGUGGGAGGCUUUGAAGUGUGGACGCCAGUCUGCAUGGAGCCGACCUUGAAAUACCACCCUUUAAUGUUUGAUGUUCUAACGUGGACCCGUAAUCCGGGUUGCGGACAGUGUCUGGUGGGUAGUUUGACUGGGGCGGUCUCCUCCUAAAGAGUAACGGAGGAGCACGAAGGUUGGCUAAUCCUGGUCGGACAUCAGGAGGUUAGUGCAAUGGCAUAAGCCAGCUUGACUGCGAGCGUGACGGCGCGAGCAGGUGCGAAAGCAGGUCAUAGUGAUCCGGUGGUUCUGAAUGGAAGGGCCAUCGCUCAACGGAUAAAAGGUACUCCGGGGAUAACAGGCUGAUACCGCCCAAGAGUUCAUAUCGACGGCGGUGUUUGGCACCUCGAUGUCGGCUCAUCACAUCCUGGGGCUGAAGUAGGUCCCAAGGGUAUGGCUGUUCGCCAUUUAAAGUGGUACGCGAGCUGGGUUUAGAACGUCGUGAGACAGUUCGGUCCCUAUCUGCCGUGGGCGCUGGAGAAUUGAGGGGGGCUGCUCCUAGUACGAGAGGACCGGAGUGGACGCAUCACUGGUGUUCGGGUUGUCAUGCCAAUGGCACUGCCCGGUAGCUAAAUGCGGAAGAGAUAAGUGCUGAAAGCAUCUAAGCACGAAACUUGCCCCGAGAUGAGUUCUCCCUGACUCCUUGAGAGUCCUGAAGGAACGUUGAAGACGACGACGUUGAUAGGCCGGGUGUGUAAGCGCAGCGAUGCGUUGAGCUAACCGGUACUAAUGAACCGUGAGGCUUAACCUU
rnacentral:rRNA from 1 species